UUUGGGGCCAAUAAAUGUUUGUGAAACACUCGAUCCCAUCCCGAACUCAACAGUGAAACCAAACAUUGCCUAUGAUACUUCGUCUUAAGACGCGGGAAAGUCGGUUAGCCCCAAAU
rnacentral:rRNA from 1 species